UAGUGGUGGGCUCUCCCUAGCACUGAUCGGUUCCUUCCCACAUGUGGUCUCAUUUUGUCUCCCUGUAAGGGUUUCUCAGAACUCGUGGAGGCUGCCUGAGCCUCCUCUCUUAGGACUUACUUGAAGGAGGGAUCACCUUUGGGACUGUGGGUCCUUUAGCCUGAAGGUUAAGAAGCCGACAACUCUCAGCUCCCUCCACACUAAUUUCACCCCGUCUUUUGUCUCCUCUGCAGUCUGACUGGUUCUUCAGUGAUGAUGAGGACAAAGGAGAGAGAGUAAGUGACUAGAGGGUGGGUGGUGUCUGGUCUGAGGUGUUGAGCAGGUGGGCGUGGUCUGGUCUGAGAUGACCCUCCUUGGGGAGGGCGUGCAGCAAGAUUCAAACGGGUGUGGUGGAGGAGAGAAGGCUUAGAGGUUAAGGUUACCUACAGUUCCUGCGGAGAACGUGAAUGUGGUUUCUAGCAUCCACGUCCAGUUCUCAUAACCACCUCCAGUUCAGAACUUCCGAUGCCCGGCCCUUCUGGCCUCUCUGGGCACUAUACUCAAGUGCACAAAGCCACACUCAGACAUAGAUAAUUACAUAUAUUGAAUGCUGAGACUGGAGAGAUGACUCGGUGAUUAAGAGUAUUUGCUGCUCUCCCAGAGGACCUAGGUUUGAGUCCCAGGACCCAUGUGGCAGCUCAUGGCCAUCUGUAUCCCAAAUAUGGGAGGGGGUUGCAGUCUGAUGCACAUAUAUACAUGUAGUCAAACUACCCAGACAUAUAAAAAGUUAACGUAAGGGGGGGAGGGGCCAGGAAGGAAUAUUUAAGAGGUACAAAGAAUCCUAUUGGGGUGGAAAUUUUAAAAGAAUCCUAUUGGGGUGGAAAUUUUUUUCUGGAAUUAGUUGUGAUAGACAUUAAAUUACUCGCGAAAGC
rnacentral:lncRNA from 1 species